GAUGAACGCUAGCGGCAGGCCUAAUACAUGCAAGUCGAACGGGAUCCAGAUCAAAGCUUGCUUUGGUUUGGUGAGAGUGGCGUACGGGUGCGUAACGCGUGAGCAACCUACCCUUGUCAGGGGGAUAGCCCGGCGAAAGUCGGAUUAAUACCGCAUGACAUCAUUGAGAGGCAUCUUUCGAUGAUCAAAGAUUUAUCGGACAAGGAUGGGCUCGCGUGACAUUAGCUAGUUGGUAAGGUAACGGCUUACCAAGGCUACGAUGUCUAGGGGCUCUGAGAGGAGAAUCCCCCACACUGGUACUGAGACACGGACCAGACUCCUACGGGAGGCAGCAGUAAGGAAUAUUGGUCAAUGGACGGAAGUCUGAACCAGCCAUGCCGCGUGCAGGAAGACGGCCCUAUGGGUUGUAAACUGCUUUUAUACGGGAACAAACGUCGGUACGUGUACCGGUCUGAGUGUACCGUAAGGAUAAGGAUCGGCUAACUCCGUG
rnacentral:rRNA from 1 species